GCAUGCUUGAAUCAGUUUUUAAAGAAAGUGCUGUGUACCCUGGCCUACUAUCAGACGUCACUGGACAGUAUGAGGGCUACUCUCAUAGAACUAAGUGAGAACCCAGCCAAUCAUGACCUGCUGUUGUCUGUGCUAUGGGAAGGUGUGGUUCAUACGUCUUCGCAAGUCAGGACAGCUGCAGCAUCACUGUUUGAGCUGAUGAUCAAAGGGGUGAGUGACUCUCUUGUGUCAUCAAGAGUUGUCCCAGCUUUAGUCACGCUCUCCAAUGAUCAUGAACUGUAAGUGAAUUCUUUCUUCUAUUGUGCUGAUAAUGUUUAUGGCAGAUAAAAGUGUAUAUGUUUUGAACACACCU
rnacentral:sRNA from 1 species